GNCGAACGGNAACAGGUCUUCGGAUGCUGACGAGUGGCGAACGGGUGAGUAAUACAUCGGAACGNGCCCGAUCGUGGGGGAUAACGAGGCGAAAGCUUUGCUAAUACCGCAUACGAUCUACGGAUGAAAGCGGGGGAUCUUCGGACCUCGCGCGGNCGGAGCGGCCGAUGGCAGAUUAGGUAGUUGGUGGGAUAAAAGCUUACCAAGCCGACGAUCUGUAGCUGGUCUGAGAGGAUGAUCAGCCACACUGGGACUGAGACACGGCCCAGACUCCUACGGGAGGCAGCAGUGGGGAAUUUUGNACAAUGGGCGAAAGCCUGAUCCAGCCAUGCCGCGUGCAGGAUGAAGGCCUUCGGGUUGUAAACUGCUUUUGUACGGAACGAAAAGCCUCUUUCUAAUAAAGAGGGGUCAUGACGGUACCGUAAGAAUAAGCACCGGCUAACUACNUGCCAGCAGCCGCGGUAAUACGNAGGGUGCAAGCGUUAA
rnacentral:rRNA from 1 species